UAGUGGCUGCCCAGUGUAACCAGGCCAGACAUACUGGACCCCCGUGGUCAGCCCUAUACUGGGAAUCAGACAGCGGACUCCUCUUUUCUCGUGUCACCAACUACUGCUGCUGCUGCUGCUGCGUAUCUGUUGUGGCCAGGUUAUAGUGGCGACGGCGUGGCCGUUGGUACCGUUCUCUACCUUAGGAGAGAAGGCCAUUUUAACCCCCUUGUUAUUGGCUCCGUUGGUGUCCACCUCCUCCUCUGAGCUGCUCUCGACAUCACUGCGGUCAUCCUUAGAAACCUGUCGGACAGACAGAAAUACAAUGUUACAAUCCAAAGUGACACAAUGGAUAUUUCCAGAAGUAUCCGGUAGUAGUGCACGUUUUUUCCGACAGACGUCAUAUAGAAUGACGUUUUUAUAUAAAAAUAAAAAAAACGAUGGAUAUUAGCACCCAAAGAAUAGAACGCAGUUACACAGGACAAACCGGUUACAUUAAGGAAUGGACAUUUUGUACAAGUAUCGGCUGAUGGCGACUACGUGGUUGGCAGAACACUCUGACAGACGCAUCACAAUUGAACUCCGUAGACAUUUAGCUCGACAGCCUGGAAACAUGUUACCAGAUCUUAAAAAUGAUUAAGGCACUUAAUAUUCAUAGGUUAUUUACAAAUACAUAAAUAACAUUAGAAUAUCUUCAUACAUAAAUUAUUUCUGGUCAACAACAAACAAAAAUAAAUUUGAUCAGACUUCCCUUAAUGAAUUCUGACUCCAAAAGCUGCACAUGCUCGCAAGUGCCACAAGAUGGCAGUUUAAAGGAGCAUAAAAAAAUCUGACGAGCCCGUCUGGCUCAUAUGCAUAAAGCCACAACCACAUGAACAAAAAUGACAUUGACAUAAGAGUGAAGUGAAUGAUACGAGACUGCAAAAAGCAGAGCAGAGAAAGUUGUUGUCAAUCUGGUGGGAAGUGAGCUGACAAACCGGAUGCUAUUUCCUGCAGCUGUGCACUUGAGCAAGGCACUUAACCCCCCCCAAUAACAACAGCUCCCCGCACCUCUCCCCAAAAACCUGUAUAUGUAUGUCUUUCAGAGGGGUUGGGUUAAAAGUGGAAGUCAAAUUUCGGUUGGACCUUGUGUGCAAUUGACCAAUAGACGGAUCUUAAAUCGUAGUUAGACAGUAAAGCAAGGACAAGUGGAGUGGAGAAUAAGGACUGAGGAGACAGAUGGAGAGACGGGACCCUCCACCCAAGAGAGGAAACAAACCACCUCUGCAGAGAGAAGGACAGCGAUUCAAAACAUGAAGAGGAAGAAAGCAAUGAACAAACACAGAUGAAAUGUUACCUAUAGCUUCCACACUCAUA
rnacentral:lncRNA from 13 species